rnacentral:rRNA from 1 species
ACUACGGGAGGCAGCAGUGGGGAAUAUUGGGCAAUGGGCGCAAGCCUGACCCAGCAACGCCGCGUGAAGGAAGAAGGCUUUCGGGUGGUAAACUUCUUUUGUCAGGGACGAAGCAAGUGACGGUACCUGACGAAUAAGCCACGGCUAACUACGUGCCAGCAGCCGAGGUAAUACGUAGGUGACACGCAUUAUCCGGAUUUACUGGGUGUAAAGGGCGUGUAGGCGGGACUGCAAGUCAGAUGUGAAAACCACGGGCUCAACCUGUGGCCUGCAUUUGAAACUGUAGUUCUUGAGUACUGGAGAGGCAGACGGAAUUCCUAGUGUAGCGGUGAAAUGCGUAGAUAUUAGGAGGAACACCAGUGGCGAAGGCGGUCUGCUGGACAGCAACUGACGCUGAGGCGCGAAAGCGUGGGGAGCAAACAGGAUUAGAUACCCGUGUAGUC